ACGCGCAGCGAGAGGUGCUUGCACCUUUCAAGCGAGUGGCGAACGGGUGAGUAACACGUGGAUAACCUGCCUCAAGGUUGGGGAUAACAUUUGGAAACAGAUGCUAAUACCGAAUAAAACUUAGUAUCGCAUGAUAUCAAGUUAAAAGGCGCUACGGCGUCACCUAGAGAUGGAUCCGCGGUGCAUUAGUUAGUUGGUGGGGUAAAGGCUUACCAAGACGAUGAUGCAUAGCCGAGUUGAGAGACUGAUCGGCCACAUUGGGACUGAGACACGGCCCAAACUCCUACGGGAGGCUGCAGUAGGGAAUCUUCCACAAUGGGCGCAAGCCUGAUGGAGCAACGCCGCGUGUGUGAUGAAGGCUUUCGGGUCGUAAAGCACUGUUGUAUGGGAAGAAAUGCUAAAAUAGGGAAUGAUUUUAGUUUGACGGUACCAUACCAGAAAGGGACGGCUAAAUACGUGCCAGCAGCCGCGGUAAUACGUAUGUCCCGAGCGUUAUCCGGAUUUAUUGGGCGUAAAGCGAGCGCAGACGGUUGAUUAAGUCUGAUGUGAAAGCCCGGAGCUCAACUCCGGAAUGGCAUUGGAAACUGGUUAACUUGAGUGUUGUAGAGGUAAGUGGAACUCCAUGUGUAGCGGUGGAAUGCGUAGAUAUAUGGAAGAACACCAGUGGCGAAGGCGGCUUACUGGACAACAACUGACGUUGAGGCUCGAAAGUGUGGGUAGCAAACAGGAUUAGAUACCCUGGUAGUCCACACCGUAAACGAUGAAUACUAGGUGUUAGGGAGGUUUCCGCCUCUUAGUGCCGAAGCUAACGCAUUAAGUAUUCCGCCUGGGG
rnacentral:rRNA from 1 species